rnacentral:rRNA from 1 species
CCCCGAAAACUAUUUAGGUAGUGCCUCGUGUCUCACUUCUGGGGGUAGAGCACUGUUAUGGCUAGGGCCACGUCAAGUGGUACCAACCCAUUGCAAACUCCGAAUACCAGAAAGUGCAAUCACGGGAGACAGACGGCGGGA